GGAGCAACAAGUGUGGGCAGUUUGUUUUCUAGAAAUGGACCUGUAGAUACAACUACAUAUGUGAUCCCAUCCAGACCACACCACAUUCAGUCAUCAAGUCUCCUCUUGGCUGUGACAGUCUCUCCGCCUUUCCUUCUUCUUGAUGACUGACAGUUUUGAGGAGUCCUGGCCAGGUGUUUUGUAGAACGUCUCUCAAAUGGGUUUAAACUUGGAAUCAUGUUCAGAGAGCGAUUAGCCAGGGCUAAGUAUGCCUCACUGUCUAGGGCCAUGAAAUGGAACCAUGCCAACUGGCCCUUACUGGAACAGUGAACUUGGACUCUGGCCACUCAGCCAGUCAGCUAUUGACCUGUCAACACAAGCAAGCUUCAACAUUCACCUUCAUUUUAGAACUAUGGUCUCUGUUUCUGAAGAAUGUGACAGCCCUAGCUGGUUUGGCUCAGUGGAUAGAGCAUCUGCCUGCGGACUGAAAGGUCCUGGGUUGGA